AGUCAUCGAUGGCAGAGGUCAUAAGUCAUAUGAAUAUAUGAUGAAUGGCACUGCCAGACGAUAUGCAUCGUGAAUGUGUUCGUGGCCACUCAGCAGGGUGAGAGGUGGAAAAAACUCAUCCCUACGCCUACUGUUGAGUCCUCAUAAGGAACAUAUGUUGUAUCAUAUGGCCUUGUGAGGCGUGCAUCCAUCGAUGAUAUGAUGUGGUGCAUGGGCCCUUACUCUCUUUCAUCCCUUGAGAAUGCGUGCAUCAUGUGUAUCACAUCCUCUGUUAGAGGUACCUCAGCUUCGGGCUGAGCCUUAAAUCGUAUAUGGACAACUUUCAACAACGGAUAUCUUGGCUCUCAGAUCGAUGAAGAACGCAGCGAAAUGCGAUAUGUAGUGUGAAUUGCAGAAAUACGUGAAUCAUCAAAUUUUUGAACGCAAAUUGCGCUUGAGGCUUCGGCCAAGAGCAUGUCUGCCUCAGCGUCGGGCUUUCCUUCACCAUAUUGCAAAGAGGGGGCGAUCAAUAGAUUAUCCCUCGAUAUACUUUGCAUGUGGUGGAUGUGGCCGUCCCAGCAUGUGGUCAUUCUUCCUUUGGGGUGAUAUGACUCGUCUGGGUUGGCUGAAGUGUAGAUGCUGAACUGUGGACCGUUAUAUGGGCCUCUACUAGGUAGGCAAUGAAUUAUGUUUUGCUUUGACCUUACAGUAGAUGGCUCAGGAGCACAAGGUUCGGUUGAAUGCGCAGGAAUACUUUUGCUUUUGCACAAGUACAGAUAAUAUGAUAAUUUACUCGACCUGAGCUCAGGCAAGA
rnacentral:sRNA from 1 species